rnacentral:rRNA from 1 species
GACGUAGGGCGCGAGCGUUGUCCGGAUUUAUUGGGCGUAAAGGGCGCGUAGGCGGCCUGCUAAGUCGAACGUGAAAUCCCCGAGCUCAACUCGGGAACUGCGUCCGAUACUGGCAGGCUUGAAUCCGGGAGAGGGAUGCGGAAUUCCAGGUGUAGCGGUGAAAUGCGUAGAUAUCUGGAGGAACACCGGUGGCGAAGGCGGCAUCCUGGACCGGCAUUGACGCUGAGGCGCGAAAGCCAAGGGAGCAAACGGG